rnacentral:tRNA from 1 species
GGCAGUGCAGUCUAGUGGACAGAGCACUAGACUGCAAUUUAGGAGAUCUGGGUUCUUUUCCCAGCUCUGCCA